GCUUCUGAUUUAAAAGAGAAUGAGAAUAAACCUGGUUCUAAAACUGUGCAGGAUACAUUCUCAGUUUUCCAUGCCCGCUUCAUUGUGCUGAGAAAAGCUUGGAAGUUUACAUUCGGUCGAGAGUAGAGUUUGCCAAAUAAUGUUAGUCGGCAUUCUUUUAACUUUUCAGCAGAGAUACCCUCCGAAACAUCUAUAACAUCAUCUGCAAACCAUAAAUUACCCAAGCUUCUACACAGUGCCUCUAACCUGC
rnacentral:lncRNA from 1 species